rnacentral:rRNA from 1 species
CCCUUAGACACUCUAGGCGGCACGCGCGCUACAAUGGGUGGAAGAACGUGUUACUGCCUCCGAAAGGAGGGGUGAAUCACGAAUUCUUGCCCGUGAAUGGGAUAGUUUGUUGCAAUUUUCGGACUUGAACUAGGAAUCCCUUGUAAACGUGCUCAAGAAUAGCGUGUUGAAUACGUCCCUGCCGUUUGUACACACCGCCCGUCGUUUCUUCCGACUGAUACUCAUUGUGAGUUGCAAGGACCCUUUAUUGGGAAAUUGCUGCAAAUGCUUUGUAUUGGAGGAAGAAAAAGUCGUAACA